rnacentral:rRNA from 1 species
AUGAACGCUGGCGGCGUGCCUCAUCCCUGCCAGUCGAGCGAACAGACGAGGAGCUUGCUCCUCUGACGUUAGCGGCGGACGGGUGAGUAACACGUGGAUAACCUACCUAUAAGACUGGGAUAACUUCGGGAAACCGGAGCUAAUACCGGAUAACAUGUUGAACCGCAUGGUUCAACAGUGAAAGACGGUCUUGCUGUCACUUAUAGAUGGAUCCGCGCCGCAUUAGCUAGUUGGUAAGGUAACGGCUUACCAAGGCAACGAUGCGUAGCCGACCUGAGAGGGUGAUCGGCCACACUGGAACUGAGACACGGUCCAGACUCCUACGGGAGGCAGCAGUAGGGAAUCUUCCGCAAUGGGCGAAAGCCUGACGGAGCAACGCCGCGUGAGUGAUGAAGGUCUUCGGAUCGUAAAACUCUGUUAUUAGGGAAGAACAAAUGUGUAAGUAACUAUGCACGUCUUGACGGUACCUAAUCAGAAAGCCACGGCUAACUACGUG